rnacentral:snRNA from 1 species
AGCUUUGCACAGUNGCAGUAUUAUAGCCAAUGAGGUUUACCUGAGGCGUGAUUUAUUGCUAAUUGAAACAUUUUCCCAAUACCCCACCAUGUCAAUUUGACAUAUGGUCGGCAAAAUUUAAAAUAAAAUAAA